UUUCUAGGUCUUCACUCCGAUCAUUGAGCUCCGUGAUUAAGUCAUACAUGACAUUCUGCAUCUGGGAGAGACAUGGUGGAAGACAGAAAGGAGACCAUUACCACAGAGAAAUCUGCCAUGGGAUGAUGAAAAGGCCUCUACCUUGCAGCAGGAGCCACCUCUGCCCAGGGGUAUCACCAAAGAAUUCCAGGACUUUCCAGGGUCUCACUAUAUAACCCUCAAUGGCCUGGAACUCAGUAUGUAGACCCAGCUGGCCUUGAACACACAGCAAUCUUGCCUGUUUCUAUUUCCUGAAUGCUGGGAUUAAAGGUAUGCAUCACCAUGCCCAACUUAAUUAUCAAUUUUAAAUGGCAAAUAUGCAUGGAAGAAAAGAAAAUCUCCUUUUCCUUAAAUGGAACACAGCUCUAAGCGGUUCUCAGAUUCACACAGGGUGCUGGCAUCUAAGGACUCAAGAGAAGACAAUGAGGGGGAUGGUCAAUGCUGUGGACUCAUAACGAAGAAGUUAAGGCUCAAGUGCAAGUCUUCAGCUCACAAGCAAUUCACUUAAACUCUCCCAUCCCAGCAUCCAGAUAAAGCUGGAGUUAAUAAUUACACAUAGUUAUGAGAUUGCAUCCGCAUCCCCCCCCCAUCAGCCAGAAUACAAAGUGUAAUCAAUGCCUCAGGCAUGAUCCUCGACCAGAACAGGCUGCCCUGCUGAGGAGGCGCCCAUCUGCUCCUUGGUUGAAGAGGAUGCACAAAGGCCUGGAACAGGCUGCUUCUUUUAAGGGCCAUCCUACCUGGCUGAGGCCUUGGCUGAUUCGAUAACACUGGUCACUUCAGAACAGUAUGCCCUCUACCCUGCCUGGCAAAUGCUGCCUUGAGGGUGCUCCUGAUGGCCUCCUGACCUCAACACUUCACACAGUGUUCUUAGGUCUAUACCAGAGCUCCCUGCCCAGAUCCCCUGUGGCCCCUAUGCUGAUUACAGAACCUGAGACUAUAUUCAACAGCUGGUCAACAAGCACCAGGAACGCUGGCUCUCAUUUGAAAGCUCCAGGCUGUGACUCAGCA